rnacentral:rRNA from 1 species
AAUGAACGCUGGCGGCAGGCCUAACACAUGCAAGUCGAACGGAUCCUUCGGGAUUAGUGGCGGACGGGUGAGUAACGCGUGGGAACAUACCCAAAGGUACGGAAUAGCCUCGGGAAACUGGGAGUAAUACCGUAUGUGCUCGAAAGAGGAAAGAUUUAUCGCCUUUGGAUUGGCCCGCGUUGGAUUAGGUAGUUGGUGGGGUAAUGGCCUACCAAGCCGACGAUCCAUAGCUGGUUUGAGAGGAUGAUCAGCCACACUGGGACUGGGACACGGCCCAGACUCCUACGGGGGGCAGCAGUGGGGAAUCUUAGACAAUGGGGGAAACCCUGAUCUAGCCAUGCCGCGUGAUCGAUGAAGGCCUUAGGGUUGUAAAGAUCUUUCAGGUGGGAAGAUAAUGACUGUACCACCAGAAGAAGCCCCGGCUAACUCCGUGCCAGCAGCCGCGGUAA